rnacentral:lncRNA from 1 species
UGUGGCUAGUAGGGAGAAAUCGAAACUCAGCUGUUAAAACCGCUGCCUCUGCUCUUUGGAACCCCCUCUCGAGACUCGUCCAGCGUCCCAGCCUGCGUCCCUCCCGCAGCGACGGCGGCCCCGGGGACCAGGACCGCGGGCUCUGAACCAUGUACACCCGCAGUAAAGUGGUGGGCUCCAGGCUCGGCGCCACCCCUGCCUCCCAGGACCCCAGUAGGGGGCGCGGGGAGCUGGGUCCCUUGCAAAGCCAGAGACAGGGUGUGGAGGCGGCCCCUGGGGCGCCUUGGCGGGAGAGCCUGGGCCACGCGGGCCAGGGGAGCACAGGUGCAUAUACCAUGAUUGCACCAAAUGAAAGCCGGAGACAUCAGAUACAGAGGAUUGCUGCGCAAGAACUGUCCAACCUGGAGAAGUGGAAGGAGCAGAAUAGAGCUAAACCAGUGUAUGUGGUGCCAACACUGCUGGGGGGAAGCCAGUCGGAGACUGAAGUCAGGCAGAAACAACAACUCCAACUGAAGGAAAGUAAAUACCAGCAAAAGCUAAAAAGACAAGAAUCUGUAAGAAUCAGGAAGGAAGCUGAAGAAGCUGAGCUCCAAAAAAUGAAGGCAAUUCAAAGAGAGAAGAGCAAUAAGCUAGAGGAGAAAAAGCAAGUUCAAGAAAAACUCAGAAGAGAAGCAUUCAGAGAACAUCACCAAUACACAACUGCUGCAUUCUUGAGCAAACUGGACGCAGAGUUACCAAACAGAAGUGCCUGCCAAACUGCUCCUCGUGAUCUGAAGUUCUCUACACAGAAACUUCCUGCCCUGCCUACAAAUUACAGCUGGGCUGGUAACCGAGCUUAUAAAGAUUCUCUAAGAGAGAAGGAAAACCAACGAUUGCAAAAGAUAAAAGAUGAACAAAAGCAUAAGCAGAAGAGUGGGAGGGGACAGAGCCCACCACCAGGCUGCUCUCAAUACAGAUCUCCAGUUGGUCACCCCAGCAUUCCCUCUGAGAGCUCCUUCAGAAGCACUGCCAACUCAGCUCUAGUUGAUCCUACGCAUGUGCUUUCCCAGGUAACUUAUUCUAUCUUCCCUUUACCUUUCAGAAAUUUCUUAAAAUCU